rnacentral:rRNA from 1 species
CUUAAAUUGAAGAGUUUGAUCAUGGCUCAGAUUGAACGCUGGCGGCAGGCCUAACACAUGCAAGUCGAGCGGAAACGAGUUAUCUGAACCUUCGGGGAACGAUAACGGCGUCGAGCGGCGGACGGGUGAGUAAUGCCUAGGAAAUUGCCCUGAUGUGGGGGAUAACCAUUGGAAACGAUGGCUAAUACCGCAUG